GAUGAACGCUGGCGGCGUGCUUAACACAUGCAAGUCGAACGAAGCAGAUUGAGAUCUUCGGAAGGAUGUCUGACUGAGUGGCGGACGGGUGAGUAACGCGUGGGUAACCUGCCUCAUACAGGGGGAUAACAGUGAGAAAUGACUGCUAAUACCGCAUAAGCGCACAGUAUCGCAUGGUACAGUGUGAAAAACUCCGGUGGUAUGAGAUGGACCCGCGUCUGAUUAGCUAGUUGGUGGGGUAACGGCCUACCAAGGCGACGAUCAGUAGCCGACCUGAGAGGGUGACCGGCCACAUUGGGACUGAGACACGGCCCAAACUCCUACGGGAGGCAGCAGUGGGGAAUAUUGCACAAUGGGCGAAAGCCUGAUGCAGCGACGCCGCGUGAGUGAAGAAGUAUUUCGGUAUGUAAAGCUCUAUCAGCAGGGAAGAAAAUGACGGUACCUGACUAAGAAGCACCGGCUAAAUACGUGCCAGCCGCCGCGGUAACAC
rnacentral:rRNA from 1 species